AUAGAUAUUUUUUGAAGUAUUUUGAUUUAAUUUUCUGUUGCACUCAGAAGUGUUUCGACAAAUUACUGCCAAAAAAGGAGUUUUUUUAGUUUCAUUUUUAGAGUAUGAUGAUGCAGAUGAAGGCCACUCAGAGCAAAAUUCACUGGAGUAAUUUAUACAGAAUUAUAAUUCAGUACAUUGACCAAACCUUAGACACUGUGUCUUUAUACACAAAACCAGUGAUUUUGGCCUUGAACACGAACUCGAAGGAGACUUGUAAAAUGAGUAUUGAUAAUACACCAAAAACGUACAAUAGGUACAUGAGAAUAUUGGAAAAGUAAAAAUAUUCACAAAUAAAAAUGCAUUUGUCGAUCAAUGUAUUGUUUCCUUUUACCUAACACAAAAGUAUGCAGAUUAAGACCAUUCUAUCAGGUUAUGAAUACGAUUUCAACUUAGUGACCAAUAUUUAUACUCUA